rnacentral:rRNA from 1 species
AGUGAAUGCUGGCGGUAGGCCUAACACAUGCAAGUCGAACGGCAGCACAGUAAGAGCUUGCUCUUACGGGUGGCGAGUGGCGGACGGGUGAGGAAUACAUCGGAAUCUACUUUUUCGUGGGGGAUAACGUAGGGAAACCUACGCUAAUACCGCAUACGACCUACGGGUGAAAGCAGGGGAUCUUCGGACCUUGCGCGAUUGAAUGAGCCGAUGUCGGAUUAGCUAGUUGGCGGGGUAAAGGCCCACCAAGGCGACGAUCCGUAGCUGGUCUGAGAGGAUGAUCAGCCACACUGGAACUGAGACACGGUCCAGACUCCUACGGGAGGCAGCAGUGGGGAAUAUUGGACAAAGGGCGCAAGCCUGAUCCAGCCAUACCGCGUGGGUGAAGAAGGCCUUCGGGUUGUAAAGCCCUUUUGUUGGGAAAGAAAAGCAGCAGGUUAAUACCCCGCUGUUCUGACGGUACCCAAAGAAUAAGCACCGGCUAACUUCGUG